UGGGGGAUAUUGCACAAUGGGCGCAAGCCUGAUGCAGCGACGCCGCGUGGGGGAUGAAGGCCUUCGGGUUGUAAACUUCUUUUGCUCUGAACAAGGCGCACUUUGGGGUGUGUUGAGUGUAGGGGUUGAUUAGCGCCGGCUAACUACGUGCCAGCAGCCGCGGUAAUACGUAGGGCGCGAGCGUUGUCCGGAAUUAUUGGGCGUAAAGGGCUUGUAGGUGGCUGGUUGCGUCUGUCGUGAAAGCUCAUGGCUUAACUGUGGGUUUGCGGUGGGUACGGGCUGGCUUGAGUGCAGUAGGAGAGGCUGGAAUUCCUGGUGUAGCGGUGGAAUGCGCAGAUAUCAGGAGGAAUACCGGUGGCGAAGGCGGGUCUCUGGGCUGUUACUGACACUGAGGAGCGAAAGGAUGGGGAGCGAACAGG
rnacentral:rRNA from 1 species